UGAACCUGCGGAAGGAUCAUUGUCGAGACCCAAGGAUUCAAACAAUAAACUGACGGAUAUUUGUCAACCAAGUAUGUCCCUUUGAUGGGGCGGAUAAGAUUAGGUGGGAAUUUCCUGCUCUUUUCUUAGCUGUCGUUGUCGAGGGGAUGUUGUCUUGUCGUUCUCCCCAUCGAGGGGCGACGGCGGAUGAUUUGUUAAACCUGGCACGAUACGUGUCAAGGAUAUUUUUGGCCCGUGUAGCGUUGUGUCGGUUGUUGACAACUCUCACUCGCUCAUGGGAUCUAUUGAAAAGUCAUAAUUAUGAUGACUCUCGGCAACGGAUAUCUAGGCUCUCGCAUCGAUGAAGAACGUAGCGAAAUGCGAUACUUGGUGUGAAUUGCAGAAUCCCGUGAACCAUCGAGUUUUUGAACGCAAGUUGCGCCCGAGACCUUUAGGUUGAGGGCACGCCUGCCUGGGCGUCAUGCCUCGUGUCACUCCAACCAUCCCAUGUCUUGGCAUCGGGAUUGAUGGAAGUGGAGAUUGGCUUACCGGGCCUCUCACGGCGUGGUGGGCUGAAGAAUGAGAUGUCAACGUCGCAUAUGGACACGACUAGUGGUGGAUGGGCAAAUUUAUUGGCCGAGACCGAUGUCGUUCCUCUUCUUUGGCACCUGUUGUGAACAACCGACGGUUGUCCCUCGCGUGCACCCCAGGUCAGGCGGGACCACCC
rnacentral:rRNA from 1 species